UUUUUUUUUUUUUUUUUUUGUCCUUUUUCUUCUCUUC
rnacentral:ribozyme from 12 species